rnacentral:rRNA from 1 species
UACGUAGGGUGCAAGCGUUAAUCGGAAUUACUGGGCGUAAAGCGUGCGCAGGCGGUUGUGCAAGACAGGUGUGAAAUCCCCGGGCUUAACCUGGGAACUGCACUUGUGACUGCACAGCUGGAGUGCGGCAGAGGGGGAUGGAAUUCCGCGUGUAGCAGUGAAAUGCGUAGAUAUCCGGAGGAACACCGGUGGCGAAGGCGGCUUCCUGGACCGACACUGACGCUGAGCGCGAAAGCUAGGGGAGCAAACAGGG